GACGAACGCUGGCGGCGUGCUUAACACAUGCAAGUCGAACGGUGAAGCGCCUUCCUUUUUGGUGGGUGUGGAUGAGUGGCGAACGGGUGAGUAACACGUGAGUAACCUGCCCCCUUCUUCUGGAUAACCGCAUGAAAGUGUGGCUAAUACGGGAUAUUCUGGGUCUGUCGCAUGAUGGGUCUGGGAAAGAUAUUGUUUCGGUGGGGGAUGGGCUCGCGGCCUAUCAGCUUGUUGGUGGGGUGAUGGCCUACCAAGGCGGUGACGGGUAGCCGGCCUGAGAGGGUGGACGGUCACACUGGGACUGAGACACGGCCAAGACUCCUACGGGAGGCAGCAGUGGGGAAUAUUGCACAAUGGGCGGAAGCCUGAUGCAGCGACGCCGCGUGAGGGAUGGAGGCCUUCGGGUUGUGAACCUCUUUCGCCAGUGAAGCAGGCCUGCCUCGUUUGUGGGUGGGUUGACGGUAGCUGGAUAAGAAGCGCCGGCUAACUACGUG
rnacentral:rRNA from 1 species